AUAUAUAUAUAUAUGUAUAUAAACUGUACUGUCAUUCUUCCUAUUUUCACUCCUGGCAGCAGUUCCCAUAGAGACGAGCUUACAGCUAGCCGUGGCAGAUGGAGGGUGAGUUGGAGCUCUAAAUUUGUCUCCCAGCAUCCUCUCUGAGUACAGCAACACGCUGGCAGCAGGAAGUGGGCAAUCAGACUGACCUCGGCACGUGAGUGGCACUGUCUCACGACCCCACCUACCCCUUGCCGAGCGUUCAACAUGUUCAUUCAAAAUAAACCGGCAGCACUGGCCGACCCUUUUAAAUGCCACACUACAGGAGUCAAAGGCACAGCUCGCCACCUGCCCAUACUGGCAGGGACAUCAAUGCCAUCAUGGGGCAAAAAACAUCACCACCCUGAAGGACCGUACUGAAAAUGGUUAGUAUCCACAAUAAGGAUCAUGGUUUAAACUUUCAGCCAGACUUACAGGUUCCAACACACAUGAGCAUAUUUACACUGAAGCAAACACAGCUUGAAAGCUGGCCAUAUACAUUAAUUUACACUGAGGUAAAAAGUCUCAGUAUCACAAUACACCCUGGUGUUUUAUUGUAACCAGUAUUACAUAUAUUACACCAUACAAUCUGACUGAUCUCAUAAAACAAGGACCACAGACAGAUGUUCACUGAACAGACCCUGCUUGCAUCCUGCAUUGUGCUAACUCUUUAAAGUCAUGCUAAAUCUGAUAGCAAGUUCUAAUUAAAGUACAGACAAAAUAAACCUUAAAGAAAAAUUUGCACAAAUUUAAAAUAAUGGAUAUUGGAUACAAUACCAAAGUCAAACAGGCAAAUUAACCUAAGGGAGGAAAAAAGUCUGGAUAAUUCGUUUUUGCAGUGCUGCACUGCUAUGAACCGGAGAGGUGAGACUGUUCCAGAAAAUCUGGAGAUACAAAACUUUCAGUCUCUGAGAAUGGGCUGUGCAACAUGGUGAAGAACAGGAUUUUCCCUUUUACCAAGCCACGAAUAUCUCAAGGAUUGAGUACAUUUCCUCAUCUAAGCAACUAUUACAUUACAGGCAAUAGAUCUCAGGAAUAAUUUUUUUUUUAAAAAACAAACAAACAAAUUUAUCAUAUGCCUGAAUUGCAAGUAAAAAACAAGCAAACAAAAAAAACACUAAAACUAUUGGAAUACAUACUAGUGGUGGGCAAGCUGUGAAUGUACAAUAAGCAAUGCAUGAACACGCAGAAAGGAUAAUGAUUCUUCUAAUUUACAAUGUCGGUUGCAGUGUCGGUUUCAUUCAUUUAUUUUCUGGAACAACUGAAGAUGCUUUCAAUGCCAAGCCGCCCACUGCAACUUUCGACGCGGUCCCGUCAAUCACCUGCUCCCUGCCUUUUCGAGUGUGACGCUCAGAGAAAGAAUCUACCCACAUCAGGAAGUGAAUGAAACGCAGCCGCUGCCAGUGAGAACAUGUAUGAAUCAGACACCCUGCUGCACCCUGACGAACGCACAUAGCCGCCUCCUCAGCCGCCAGAGAACGCUUUGAUAAGGUUAGUCAUUCUCCAGCGGCGCUUCAAAGCCUCUUUAGUUUCUCCUUACGGUCACCUCUCCACGCUCUCCUCGCUUAACCUUCUAGAAACAAAUCAGUGUUAAUGAAUAAGUAUCUCUCUGCUUUUCAGAAGUGCCCUUUAACUGCACUUCACUAUCCUUUCCCUGAUGGAGAGAGAGAGGGAGAGAGAGAGAGCUGCCACUCACACUGGCAGCCAUGGACAAUAAAUACUUUACAGCUCCUAAGCAGUGACUGAAACAUACAACAACAGUUUUCAUAAUUCAGAGAGUGUUUCAUUGUGUCAACAGGUACCAUGUUAAUGUGAAUGUCACGUAAUCUAUGACAUUUAAAUAUCACAACAAAGACUGUGUCACUUCAGAUAAAUAUUUGUGUUCGAGUAACUGUGUGGAUUUUCCUCAGUCAACUUCACAUUUAGGAGAUCACGCAGUUCAUGUAAUAACAUUCAAACUGUUUGUACUAGCUACAUUUCCCAAAGUAUGUUGAGAAUACAACACCAAAAUAUUAAACUAAAUACUACACACACCUUCAAGUCAAAGGAUAAAUGAUCAGUAACCUACUAGCACACUGGCACACUGAUUUCAUAUCAAGCAGUUAUGCCAUGAGAGUUCACCCAAGUAAUGCUGUGUCAUGGACUACAUUCCUCGUAACUCAACACCCAUUUGCAGAAUCUUGCAAUUCCGCUUUGUGUCAGCUGUUCAAACACAACAGUGUGCAGACGAGGAGAGCCAGAAGGCAGUGCAAUCCUCCACCCGAGUCCUCCUGCUCUUCACAGCUACAGCAUGAAUGAGAGCCACCAAGUGAUACAGCGGAUAUGAAUGUUUGCAUUUGAGUGGGUGUAUUUCUGUGAAAUAAGUGAGGAGGGAAGGAGGGGGAGAGAGAAAGAGAAAGAGUAAGAGAGAGAGACUGAGUGAGGAAAAUAAAGUGUAAAACAAGGACACACACUGUCAUUGAUGCAAAGCACCACUCUUAC
ensembl:lncRNA